AUAGUUACCUGGUAGGAAGAUACCUUGACCAUGAAGGUGGUUUUUUCCAGAGCAAGUCUUACUCACUGCAUUCCAGAUGCGGUGACCGUGUGAUUGGUCCACAUGCGGGAGACUCAAUUGCAUAAUUUGUGGUAAUGGGACCUUUGUCUGCAGUACCCCUGA